rnacentral:rRNA from 1 species
UACGAAGGGGGCUAGCGUUGCUCGGAAUCACUGGGCGUAAAGGGUGCGUAGGCGGGUCUUUAAGUCAGGGGGGAAAUCCUGGAGCUCAACUCCAGAACUGCCUUUGAUACUGAAGAUCUUGAGUUCGGGAGAGGUGAGUGGAACUGCGAGUGUAGAGGUGAAAUUCGUAGAUAUUCGGAGGAACACCAGUGGCGAAGGCGGCUCACUGGUCCAUUACUGACGCUGAGGUGCGAAAGCGUGGGGAGCAAACAGG